rnacentral:rRNA from 1 species
AUGGACAAUUUCCAACAUAGUGAUCUUCUUGCCCUCGAGACGGCGUUAGGUGAGGAAAGCCGGGAUCCAAUAGCCAUUCCUAUCUCCGUUUUGAAGGCCAUCACAAACAAUUUCUCUGAUGCUCAAGAAAUCGGUUGCGGUGGGUUUGAAACGGUUUACAAGGGUACGCUUGGAAAUGGGAUGGUUGUUGCCGUGAAGAAGCUCCACGAAAAUGUAGGAGUUCUUUCUAAAAAUUUCAAUAGUGAGGUCGAUUGUCUUAUAGAGGUCAAGCACAAAAAUAUAGUGCAGUUCCUGGGGUACUGUUCGGAUACGCAAAAGGUACUAAGGUCGUUUCAAGGAAAAAAUGUCUGGGCAGAAGAACGGCAGAAGUUAUUAUGCUUCGAGUACCUAAGUAAAGGGAGCCUUGCAGACUAUCUCACUGGGCCAUCUUGCGGACUUCGGUGGUGCACACGGUAUCGAAUAAUCAGGGGGAUCUGUGAAGGCUUGCAUUAUCUUCACCACCACCACCAACCUAUUAUUCACUUGGAUCUCAAACCUCAGAAUAUAUUAUUGGACGAUAAUAUGGUGGCUAAAAUAGCGGAUUUUGGUCUAUCAAGGCGCUUAAGUGCAAGGCAAAGUCGAAUUCUAACCAAAAACAUAGCUGGGACACCGGGAUAUUUCGCUCCGGAAUUUAUAAAUAGCGGAGUAAUCACAAUGAAGAUGGACAUAUAUAGUCUAGGGGUAAUAAUCAUAGAGAUUCUGAUGGGAUUUAAGCAACAACCCAAUCUCGACUAG